AUGUCGUGCCUAGGCUUGCCCCUGCCCACCCACAAACUCCCGCCCUCUGCCUUCCAGCCUAUCAUCACCAAUUGUUUCAGAUACCUCACCGUCCAGCAUGCUAAACUCCUCUCAAGAGGAGGACGACUCGUUCUAAUCUGCUAUGUUCUUGACUCCCUACCAACUUAUUUCAUAUCAGGCUUUCAGCUUCCCAAAAAAGUUAUCGAAGCUACCGACGCAAUCCGUCGAGUCUUUUUCUGGACUGCUGAAGAAAUGUGUACUGGUGCGAAGUGUCUUAAAUUUUUGGAAAAAUGUUUGUAA
rnacentral:rRNA from 1 species